CGGCUGUCUUCCAGCAGGGCCGUGGAGCAGCACUGCAGGGCUCCUCAGCCCAUCCCAGCGUCCACCAUGCUGGGCCUAUGGGCAAAAAGAGCUCUAGGUCCAACAGAUAUUUGACCCUUUUUUCUGCACGUGCUGUCUUUGCUCAUUUAAAUCUGGGAGGGGGAGCAGUCUAGCAAGGGUUGUUCUUUUUCCCUCUCUGAUGCAUACAUACUGCAGAUAAGAGCCAGGAACAGGAAGCGGAGGGGUGAGGUGGCAAGUCAUUUACAUUGGAAAUAGAAGCUGAAUGUGCAUUUCCCCACUCUUGCCAUCAAUCACUCAGACUUCCUGUAUGCUGUGAAAUACAAGAGUGGAGUUUGCUUGCUCCCCACUUCCCCCAGGAAUGGAAAUGCUCAUUUGUUUCACUGUUGAGAAAUGCUGAUCACUCAAAGCAUUUUGUUUUCUAGAUGUGCUCCAUUCGGAAGCUGAACAUUUUGGCUUCCUCCUGUUUGGACUUCAGAAAUGUCUUAGGAUGUCCUGCAGGUGUGGGGAGUCACUCUGCUGGUGCUGUAGCUCUGUAAGGGAGGGAAAGGUGCUGCUGAAAUACAGAAGGGCCCCCAGCCAGUUGAGCAGAGACUUCAUUGCAGAGCACUGGCAAAUACUCUCUGUUCUCUGGUUGUUUUAACUUGUUUAUGUGAUCUCACACCCGAUAGAGUGCAGCGAGGGCCACGUCCUGCUUGUCAUUGGAAACCUGACAUGUGGGAAAGCAGGGCUAAGAGUCCUGGGCCAGGCCAAUGCAGUGACUCAAGAAGAAGCUGAAGUGCUCCUCAGGCCUUGUGAACUGACCGAAGCAACUGGCGAGGUUCAAAGUUUUAUUUCAGGGAAGGCAGGGUUACCUAGAGCCUGGGUGGGGGUUAAUCAAUGUACAUUCAUCAUUAAUUUAUGCAUGUAAGGGGCUUUGGAGCACAGUCGUCAUGCUGGUUUUGAUAACGCUAACUCUAUCCACCCUGCCAGCUGCUGUGAUGUCGUGGUAGUCUGUGUUGCUGCAUGCAGAAUUAUGGUGCUUUUGUGGGAAUAUUAUGUUCCUUGAAUAGAGCCCCACAGAGCAAUUUGCUUCAUCCUUACAAACCCAUCCAAAUAACUGGCAGUGCCUUACAAAUACAAAACAAUCGAGAAAAUAAAUGUAUUAUACUGUACAUCUGUGACAAAACAAUGCUUUCAUGUGCAAAGAGAAAUGUGUUUGUUUAACUUACGGUUUCCCAUUUGGAAAUAAA
ensembl:lncRNA